rnacentral:rRNA from 1 species
AACGAACGCUGGCGGCAUGCCUAACACAUGCAAGUCGAACGAAACCUUCGUGUCUAGUUGCGCACGGGUGCGUAUCGCGUGGGAACCUGCCCUUAAGUUCGGAAUAACUCCCCGAACGAGGUGCUAAUACCGGAGAAUGUCUUCGGACCAAAGAUUUAUCGCCUUUGGAUGGGCGGGCGUUGGAUUAGCUAGUUGUUAGGGUAAAAGCCGACCAAGGCUACGAUCAGUAUCUGGUCUGAGAGCAUGAUCAGCGACACUGCGACUGAGACACGCACCAGAGUGGUACGGGAGGCAGUAGUGGGGAAUAUGAGCCAACGGGCGAGAGUGUGAGAAAGCAAUGCCGUGUGAGUGAUGCAGGUCUUAGGGUUGAAAAGCGCUUUUCCCCGGGAUGAUAAUGACAGUACCGGGAGAAUAAGCACCGGCUAACUCCGUG